rnacentral:tRNA from 1 species
GGGCCGGUGGUCUAGUCCGGUAUGACGUCUCCCUGACACGGAGAAGGUCGGCAGUUCAAAUCUGCUCCGGCCCACCA